rnacentral:rRNA from 1 species
GCGGCAGGCCUAACACAUGCAAGUCGAACGAGUGGCGGACGGGUGAGUAAUGUCUGGGAAACUGCCUGAUGGAGGGGGAUAACUACUGGAAACGGUAGCUAAUACCGCAUACCAUCGGAUGUGCCCAGAUGGGAUUAGCUAGUAGGUGGGGUAACGGCUCACCUAGGCGACGAUCCCUAGCUGGUCUGAGAGGAUGACCAGCCACACUGGAACUGAGACACGGUCCAGACUCCUACGGGAGGCAGCAGUGGGGAAUAUUGCACAAUGGGCGCAAGCCUGAUGCAGCCAUGCCGCGUGUAUGAAGAAGGCCUUCGGGUUGUAAAGUACUUUCAGCGGGGAGGCGUUACCCGCAGAAGAAGCACCGGCUAACUCCGUGCCAGCAGCCGCGGUAAUACGGAGGGUGCAAGCGUUAAUCGGAAUUACUGGGCGUAAAGCGCACGCAGGCGGUUUGUUAAGUCAGAUGUGAAAUCCCCGGGCUCAACCUGGGAACUGCAUCUGAUACUGGCAAGCUUGAGUCUCGUAGAGGGGGGUAGAAUUCCAGGUGUAGCGGUGAAAUG